GACACCGUGGCCGAGUGGUCGAAGGCGACCGGUUGCUAAUCGGUCGGGGGACUCCCCACGCAGCGCCCAAAGGGGCGCGCUCCGAAGGAGCUUCGAAUCUUGCCGGUGUCG
rnacentral:tRNA from 1 species